rnacentral:lncRNA from 1 species
ACUUUCACAUCCUACUAAAAUUGCCCUUAAGAGUUCCCCAAAAAUUCCAGGUUGUCGUAUUCUUUUCUCAGAUUUCACUCUUCUGAAAUUCCCUCUGGCAUUUGAUAGUGAUAGUCAGCCUAUCCUUUAUGAAAAUAUCUAUCCUUUGUUUUUGUGAAUCUGUAAUCACUUAAUAAUAUGGUUUGACUGUAUCCCCACCCAACUUUUAUCUUGAAUUGUAGCUCCCAUAAUCCCCAUGUGUGAUGGGAGAAACCCAGUGGGAGGUAAUUGAGUCAUGGAGUAGUUGCCCGCAUGCUAUUCUUGUGAUAGUAAGCUUUCAUGAGAUCUGAAGGUUUUAUAAUGGGCUUCCUCUUUCACUAGGCUCUCAUUCUUCUCCCUGCCACCAUGUGAAGAAGGACAUGUUUGCUUCCCCUUCCACCAUGAUAGUAAGUUUCCUGAGGCCUCUCCAGCCCUACAGAACUAAUAUAUCUCCGAAAAUGACAUGGCCUUCACUUCCUAAGACACAGAUAUU